ACUCCAUUGAAGCUCCAGCAAAGAAAAUUCCAAAGACUCUGAGGACUUAUUUGUUGUUCUACAGUAACCAUAUAAGUAGGAAGAAAACAUUUAGUCAAUCAGUCGAGUCGAUAGCACAGAGAUGUGUCGAAGAACAAUUAUGUGUGAACAAAAAUCAAUAAAACCGCAGAUCUUGAAGUGGACAUAUGGGUCACAGGCAAAGGAAGGAAUUCGUUUGAGAACGUAUUCGUAUUCAGAAAUGAAUACGCGGGAAGAUGUGUCUAAAAAAUGUAUAAAACUACUUACUGCCCCUUUCUAUCAAGAUUUACAAUAGAAGUUUACUCAAUCCCUUCAGCGAAUACAGAUCACGCUGCCAUUGCCUAAGAACUCUUCGUGGUGGAAUUUGCUAAAGAAUUUGACGACAUCAAGAUUUUCUAUUACAAGGAAUCUGUUUAUGGAGUUAUCAACUUGAUCUACAAAUAUUUGACAAAAAUAAGGUAUUUUUUAACCAUUUUCUAUAUAUCUUUUACGAGAAUUAAUAAUUUAAAUUACUAUAAUGCUGGUACAAAAUGAAAUGAAAGAUGGAUAAUUCUAUAAAUUACAUUUAAUUUUCAUAUCUUAUAAAAAUAUUCACUUUUAUGCACAUUUAUAAAAAUAACUAUUAAAAUUUAUGAUUAUUUCAUAAAUUUGUAUUUAUAAAGCUUUUUUACAAUUAAAAAAAAUAUAUUACUAAAUAUCUAAUUCUAUAAAUUACAUUUGAAAGGAACGAUUGCCUUCCAUUUAAAAUUUUCCAAAAUUUAUAAUUUAAACAUAACAAUACUACUGACAAAAUAAAAAUGGAGACCUAACAAUAUGAAUUAAUAAUAAUUUCAUAUCUUAUAAAAAUAUUCACUUUUAUGCACAUUUAUAAAAAUAACUAUUAAAAUUUAUGAUUAUUUCAU